ACAUGCAUGCAAGUUACUCCCUGCACAGUUGUAGCACUACAAGCUAGCGUUAGCCAACUCCUUUGGAUUGGUGGACGGUAAAGAUCGGAAGUAGUUUAUUUAUGCUAAUGAAGGAGUUGGGGUUGUAGAUAUUUACGUUCAACGGGAGCCGCCCUUCAUUCACCCACAUGGUUAAACGCUGGGUGCGUUCGCGCCACUUUGGCAAUUUUACUACAAUAUAUUAACUCUGACAAAAGCGAAACAUCAACGCCAAUGGCUGCGAUGUUUGAGCUGGAGAUGAGUAGUAACGCGAAUUAAAAGUUUGUCUAGUUUCUUUUUCAGAUUUGCCCUGAGCAGUGACAGUAAACGGUAAGUCUGUGUGUGCAAGUGAGUGAAGAUGGUGGAUUUCGCUGGUGAGUGUCUUACCACGCGCAUGUUAUUGACAAGGAACCUGUUGUUGUAUUUUCUGUGGGAUGGGGGAGUGGAAAUGAGCCUUAUUAAUUUCAAAAGUCUGAUUGGACCGUUCCUAGUUGUUAAUUUCGAGGCGAUGGUCUUUUAAAUGAUCUAUUUGGUAAUAAAAACAAUGUGGUGGUGAGGCGCAUGGCAGCCCUCUCCUCCUCCAUAACGUUAGUUAUUAGAAUGAGGGAGAUUUGAAAAAGCGUGCUGCUGCUGUUUCUCUGCAGUGCCCAUCAGAGCUCCUACUGUAGAUGGGUGCCUUGCAACUAUACGGGAGUUCUUAAUCGUCUGGCGUGCAGAUUCAAGAAUGCCAUAUCGGAGAAGCUGUAGCAAUAUUUUAAGUUUAAGUUAAAGUUAGUUUUCUUCACUCUUCUGUGUGCAGUGGUGUGUGAGUUAAAGUGCCUCCAGAACAAAGCAGCGCAGCACAUGGGGCAGCUGCAGGCCGCGCGGUAUGGCUAGCUUGUUUGCUAGCUUACUAGAUGGCCAUCUGAAAUGGCAUGGAGUCUUCAGAAGAGUCCUAGUGUGUGUCUCUUUUGUAUGACUGGAAGCUGCAUUAUGCUGUUCCGAAACCAUUUUUAAAUUGAGUAGAAUUUGAAUUGACUAGUGCGAACAAUGCGCAAAUCAUCGCAGGCCGGUGGAUGGCUAAUUAGCUAGCUAGGUAAUAUUUAAUUUAGCAUGUUACCAAAGCUAGUCAACCACUAUUGGGCGAAUAUAUAUACCCAAAUUAUUUUAUCUGCUGGCCUUUUACAACUGUGAAAUGACCUAUUAUCGCACCAGCUUUGGCCAUAUUUAGCUUUUCUUAACAUGGGUUUAUUCGCUACCUGGCCAGUGCAUGCUUUGUAGGAUUUAGUCACGUUAGCAGCUAGCGAGCUAAUUUAGCUAUGGUAUAGUAGCUACAACAAGGGAAUGGCCAGUUGACUAUUGUGCUGUUUUAUUUCAAUUCUGAAUAAAAGCUAUGCACUGCUCUUAUUUUGAAGCAGGAAUAAAUUGACAGCGCUGCUUCAUUUCUACCUGAAUUUAACCAGUUAUUUAGUAUUGGAAAAAUGUUUUGUGCGAAAUGCUCAGCUUUGCGGACUCGGCGGCGCCAUAUUAGAGCGGACGGUGGGGGAGGGGUGAACAGGGAUUGUUUAAGAGCAACACGCAUGCGUAUGUCUCACUGUCAAGGCGGGCCGCAAGCUGCGUAUGUCAUUCAACUUUUAAAUCCAUAACCCAAGAAGUUCCUCGGCGAGUCUUUAUUAAUGAACUGGCCAUCUUAUCUGUUACUAUAUACUUUGAGGGCACGUCGAAGCCUUGCUUAAUACGGAACGAUUUUAGAAGUCUGUUGUAUGUUUUCAUAUGUAUUUUCGGAGCGCCCCUCAGUGUUCUGUGAAAGAAUUAAGACCAUGAUGUUCCUGAAAAAACGUGGUGUAACGCGAGGUACCCUUAACUGUUCACCUUAUGCAUUACGAGAAUGCCGCCUAUGACCCGGUUAAUGAGACCUAUCCAAUCUCACGUGCUCCGCUUAGAAAAGACCUGGUUCUCACUUAUUUUCAUGUGCAUUUUCCCUCUCUCGGGUAGGUCUCAAUAAGAACAUUGCUGUGGUAAGUACAUUCUGCAGCUGAUGUCCUGAAUUGAAUUGGUCAUGAGACUUAGAUUUUCACUGAACAUCCUGUCAUUUGAAUUCAUUGAAUCUGUCUUGAUGCAAAAUGUAGGCUCCUCCCUGACAUGAUAUUACGUUUCUCAUUUUGAAUAAGCUGUUGUAUUGAGGGGGAAAAAAGUGAUGAUUGGUAGGUUGCAGAAAAUUCAGGAGGUAAAGAAAAUGCAUGAGAGAGACUCCACACCGAAUGUACGUUGUAUGUUAGGAGUUAAUAUGAUUCCGAAAUGGGAAAACAUUAUUACCCUAACCUUUUUUGUUUGCAUGUUCUCUUACAGAAUGUUUUUCUGGGUUCAAGUCUACGGCGUUUGCCUGAAGAACUGCGAAGCCGCUUUCCAGAGAUUGCCUGGACAGAAAUGCUGUCUGGACCGGUUACGUCACUGUAGUGUCAAAGUGCUUACAGUGCAGGUAGUACUAUGGAAUAUCUACUGCAGUGGAGGCACUUCUAGCCCUACAUUGACCACCAUACAUGACCCCAUGGGACACCAUCAGACCUGAGUAAAACUACUACUUGUGCUAAGGUGCAUCUAGUGCAGAUAGUGAAAUAGACUAGCGCCUACUGCCCUAAGUGCUCCUUCUGGCAUAAGGGCUGUUACUUGCAUCUGAUAUUACACGAGGAACCUUUAUCUGUUUUUGUUUUAUUUUUUGCAGUUCUCUGUUAGUUUUGCAUAGUUGCAUUACAAGAAAAAUUGAGUUGUGCAAAUCUAUGCAAAACUGAUGGUGGCCUGCUUUAUCCUUCUAUUGCCCCCUACCCCCACCAGAAAUAAAAAAAUAAUAAAAAUUGGAUGCACGCUCAGGGAUGUGGCUGCACUUGUGCCUCUGCGAAGACUGGAAAUUGACUUGGUGUGUAUUUGGUUGUGAACAUCUCGGAUGAUCUUAUGAGUUUCAGCAGUAUUAAAGUGCUUAUAGUGCAGGUAGUUUUUAGUCAUCUACUGCAGUAUGAGCACUUGAAGUACUUCUAGAUAUAUGCAUCGGAUUGAGAUGUCAGUGCUUCGUCUGAUUGUCUCUGGUCUCUGGUCAGUUUUGCUGGUUUGCAUUCAGCUUCAGUUCUGGUGCUGUGCAAAUCCAUGCAAAACUGAUCAUAGCCGUGAAUUGCAUCCGUUGAAUCUUCAAGCGGUCUCUUUCUGUGCAGGUUGGGAUGAGUAGCAAUCCUGUACAUUGGUGAAGUAUUGCACUUGUCCCGGCCUGUUCAGGACUGAGGGAACAGGCUUUUGCCUCGUCUUCUGCCAUCCUCGUUUGAUAGGAAUACUUGCUUUUGUAUAUCUUUAGAAUGUCUGUGUGUAAACUCUUCGGAUGAGCAGUGAAUGUGUUUUGGAUGUGGCCUCUUACAAUCAAUGUUUAAUAAAAGGUUUUCUUUACACCUUGUUUCCAUUGAAAUUUGUGUUGCUGUGAAAUAUUGACUCAACAUUUUCAUAUUUAACGGUGGUCAGUUGUAAUCGGGUUUUCUGGUUGGGAGAAAAAAGUUUCUUUAACUUCAUCAGGGAACUUGAACUAAAUGAGAGAAUUGGAUGAAAUACAAUUAAUUUUCUGCCAUGUUUAAAAGGGUUACAGAGCAAUGAUGCCAUUCAGACACGUCUUGGCUAAUUGGGCUAUUUUUCCAGUAAGAAUGCAUCAACAGUAUUUAGUAGAUUGAAGCCUAUAUAGGCAGUGUUUUAAUGCAGUACAGUUACCUAGUUGGAAGGAUUUAUGUCUGCUUUGUGAAACUGAAAAUGAUGAAACUCAAAUGGUAGAUGGCCUGAAUUGGGUGUGCCACAAUGAUAAAACUAGGUUUAUUUAAAUUUAUUUAUUUUUUUUAAAACUGCACGUUAUUUUAUUUUGUUAAAUAGUAUUUUCUAUUUAUUUUUAAUCUGAAUGUCAGCAGUGCUGAUGAAUCUGUUAAUCUUACAAAUAGUGCAGUGUGUAUUUUUUAAGAUUUUGAGCUGACCUAAAUUCGUAAGAUGUUACCAAGUAAUUGGUAGUGGGUGCUGCUGUUGGAAUGUGCUGCUUGAAUUGCAUUCAUAAAUGCCAAGUUGUAAAAACUGGCAAGAGAAAAUCUUUGAGAAAACAAAUGCUUCUAAGUAUUAGCUAGUAAUGUGGUGACAGAACAUAGCAGUUUAAAGAAAUUAAGGGGUAUGUAAACUAGUCUUGGCUGCUCAAUGCUACCUGUACUGCAGGUCCCCAGUGUCCUGACUACAGUUCCAACCUGGCUCUCAGUCUGCCUCCAAAUCAUCCCCAGUUUAAUUGGCUAAAAAAAUCUUUCUCUGCCUCAGCUGAUGUGUGGGGAGGGUUCUGGCGCAAAAUGGCUGCCAUGCAUCACUGAGGUGGGUUUCACACAUUGGUGGUGGUUGAGGCGAGCUUCCCCCUCAUCACUGUAAAGUGCUUUUGAGUGUGAGAAAAAAUGUGAUAUAAAUGCAAGGCGUUAUAAAAUAUUUCAUGUUCCCUCAAAAAGACUCAUAAGAAGCCUGUGGCUCGAUGCAGGUUCGGGCGCACCUAUGAGUGACUGCAGUGCGUGGAUUAGGGUGACUGCAUCAGAAAUGCAUUGGUAGAAAAAACAAGUUGAUUGUGAUGACAUUGGUAAAAAGGAUGUUGGUUUAAAAAAAAAAUAUAUAUAUAUAUGAAGACGUAUUGCGUUGACUUGCUUAAAUCUUAAAUUUUAUCAAUAGUUGUAAACGGAUUAUAAUUUAAAUUAGCUAAUUACUCUAAUAGAUGUAUUAAACACUGGGAGUGGUCCUGUGUUUCUCCCUAAAUGUGCUUGUCAGAUGCCUGAAUUAGAGUGAACUGAAAUUGGGAAUGUUCAUUGAUCAGGGUUAUGUAAGAAAAAAAUGGCAAAAAUACUGCAUCUUUGAAUUCCAUUAUGUGACCACAUCUGUUCUUGCAGGAAAAUAUAGUCAAAAUUUUAAUCAAAAUACAUACAGACCCACAGCAACCAAUGUGAUUCAGUGUUAAGUAGGUUAUGAAUGCAAUAUCACUUAUUGCCAGGUCUAAUUCCAUUGUAUAUAUUUACAUAUUGCUUCUUUUAUCAAGCUCAGAUGAACUCUUUCUGUAGCAUUUAUCAGUCCGGUAACUAUUUUGUAAGAAGAAAGAAAUGUAAUACUUUUAUCAAAAGACCAGAAGCUUUACAGUUGCAUUCAGUCUGAGUGUGGUAUUAAUGUAUUCCAAGUGGCAUAAUUCAGAAUUGAUGUCUUAACCAGUGUUCUCCCAUUUCCCCCACAGUCCGUCAGUAUCAUUUCUGAAUAUUAAUGUGUAAAUUGUUACCGAACCGAAAGUGCUCACCAUGUAUUUUAAAGGGUUGGGCUAUGUGGGGAAGCUUAAUAUUUGCAUUUGCCAACUACCAAUGAAUAGUACUGAACUUAAAUGUAGAGAUAAAUAAAUAAAACAAAUCCUAAUGGCUGGGGGGCUCAGAUUUUAAUGAGUGAGGUUAUAUGCAUAAUAUGAAGUGUGACACUGCAGCUGACAACUUUGAUUCAAAUACUGAAGUUUAUGCCCCGAUUAAUUUAAGCUGCGGCAAGGAAAGGAGUAUUUUCUAUGAAAUGUAGGGCUUAGUGGCCUCUAAACUGAAUGAACAUUGAGAAAAUGAAUGAUUUUCAAUUUGCCUUUGGUUGUAAUGGGCUUUAACUUUGGAAGCUAAAUUUAUUUUUCUUUUUUUAAAAUGUCAUAUAUUAGUUUGGUGGUCACUGAAAUGGGAUCAUGCAUGAAAAACAUUAUCUCAGUGUUAAGGACAAUGAACAUUAGAUAGUUUUGUAGAAAUGGUCAGAAAGGCCCGUGGCAACUUUGAUUUUCCAGAAUUACUCCUAAUAUUUAGGUAAUACUGUACACCUUUUGUAAGGACUAAUUUGUGAAUUUGUAAUUAAAUUUUUCAAAAUUUAGUUGGGAAUUAUACAAUGCUGUCUUGAAGUACUAUCAUAGCAAAAAUCGUCAUAUUAAGAGAACAAUUGUUUCAUUCAUUAUACACUGUCUUGAAAAUGCACUUGAUAAAGUAUAUUAACAUAAAUUAGUCAACAUUAGUCAGUGGUGUUUGCUGAACAUAAAAACAUUAGUAUACGUUAUUAUAUGUUUGGAUCACAGUCACUUUACUCUUUGGAAUUUACACCAAUGUUUUUUUUCUGGCAUCUCAGACCCUGAAUGUAUCAGGAUUCCACCUUUUUCGAGGAAUGUAUCUGAAGCGUCUGAGGACAUCAUUCAGCAGACAAAAAACCAUGGACACGUUGUUCCUCUGUGCCGACAGGAACAUGGCUGCCGGUACGACUGACUUGGUCAGGAACCUGUUUGCUUUGAGAGUAUGGUUGCACUGGGCUUUGAGCUCAAAGUGGGUGAAUCCAUCCAAACCUGCUUCUAUGCCCUCUUCCCAUUGGUGCUUUGUCACAUGAUCAAUCCAGGCCCAACUCCUGUCGCCACGGACUACGGACAACGCCCAAUGCUUCCGGAGGGCCUGCUGGGUGCUCCAUCUCUUUGGGAGCAUUCCCAAGCAGCUGGGCAGGCGAAUCGCGUGGGCCACUGCGCUUCCUGGGUGUGUCUUUCUCCAGGCACUCGGCCUUGGCUCUGAAGUCAACACCACGGACCAUUUGCAGUGCAUUAAGGAGCAUGAGAGGACACUGCUGAAGAUGCCAUACUGCCCCCGAUGCCAGGGCCUCGCCCACAGCAAGCCCUGAAUGUAAUGUGAGGCCGUCUGGCCAGGGCAGGGGAGAUAGAUGGCCACUGGAGGAGCUUGACCUCUCCAUGGAGGAGGUGUCUGCCAGGAUGUGCAGGACCCGCAGCCUGGAGUGAAUGCUGCAACGCAUGCAGCUUCACGUCAACCGCGCGCUCUGGCGUCUACAAAAUCAUCCAAAAACUAAUUUUUGUUUUACAACGUGCCCUUUGGUUGAAAAAAAAGGCUAAAAUGACUCUUUGGAACGUCUCUUGUAAUUACUGUUGCUUGCAUCAUUACUGGACAAAAGAGCACUGAAAAGCCUGUACCAAUGUAACCUUUUGAGGAGACUACUAAAUUUAAAUACUAAGAAGACA